UUAGAAAGAUUUUUUUCCUUUUUAUAUUUUUUAGAUAGCUUUAUUAUCAUUAGAUUAACAAUAUUAAAAAAAGAAAUUUUGAUUUUGAAUUCAGAAAGGACGACAUCUUGAAAUUCAUCAAGUGACCUACUUGGGAGGAUAUUUUAAAUCUGAAUUUUUGGUAACCACCUUAUAAUCUCACUAAGUGAUUGUUCUUAAAAAACAAAAGAAAAAAUUUGAAAUUUGAGUCUUUUGACACUUAGAUCUCACCCUCUAAAAUUGGACAGUUUCUAUUCAAUCUCGAGACAUUGAUUUUUUCAUCGGCUUUGAGGAUGCAAUUAAGAACUUUUUUUUAUUGAGUUAGUGUGUGUUAAAGAGGCUAUAUCCACAAAUUUUGGGGUCCUAAGCAUAAUCCUAGGUAGGGUUUUACCCGAGGGAGUAAAUGGACGUUAUACUCAUGAGGCAGUAGAAUAUCUUUGGGGUACACACACAUGGUUAUUCUAGAAUUCAUCAUACUUUGUGAACUUAUAAUAUCCUAUCCCAAAUUUUUGAACCAUAAAAUGGCUUUAUAUCUUUAAAAAUGACUUUUGACCAUAAAUAACUCAUAUUUUAGGAAGGGUAUUUUUAUCUUUUUAAAAUUCAUCCAAAAGUUUUUUUCAAAUUUUAAAAGAUUCUUUCGACUUUGGGAUGAUGAUUAGAUUUAAAAACAAGUUACAAAUAUAAAUAUGCCCUAAUGUAAAAUUUUCAAAACAAGCUAUUUCGAGCGUAAUUUAAGUAUUUAUAAGGGUAUUUUAUGGUCCAAAAUUUUAAAAUAUAAUAUUAUGAGUAUAUAUAUAUAGCAGUGAUUUCAUGUAACGAUUGUAUCAUAGUAUAAUGCAACGACACUUCUAGAAAAUCAU
rnacentral:lncRNA from 1 species